GGGUGGGUGGCGUUUCUCCUCCCAAAGCCAGGACCCUGCCUGGGGACUCUUAACUGCUUGCUUGAGCAACUCCAGCGGCCCUCCCAGGGUGGCCAGAUCCCGAAGUCGUUGAGACCUCAUUGUCACCCUGACCCCUGGAGGAGGGCAGGGGAGGAGACAGGGCUUUCUGUGCCUGUGUGGCAUUCUUGUAGCGUCUGGUUAAUUCGCCCCUCGUCUGUCUUCUCGUGGGCAAGUGCUCCUCAGAGCAGGUGGGAGCCACAGGCAGCACGUCUGCCGCAGACGGAACGCCUUUUGGGGAAGGCUGGAUAGGACAGCGGCCUGGGCCAGGCCCAGGGAGUCAUUCUGCCGAGUAGGAAAGACAGCAGGUCCCCUCACCCCCCGGGCCUCCGUCCCCUGCCUGUCAGAUAAAGGGUUUGCCUGGCUCACUCCCGUGUGAGACAGGAAGGGGUUGGGACGAGCAUGAGACUGAGACAUUGGACCCUUGAUCUCAUGGCUCUGUGCUGUCCUCCCUUCUCCCAGCCCCUCGGCUGUGAUGGACAAGAGAGUCCCCUCCCUGCUCCAUCAUCCUCCCAGCCCCCAGGACGUGCACACACACCAUUCAAGGCUUUUAUUAGGAAGAUGUGUAUGGGGUGCUCACAAGCGUCUGGACUGAUGCACAAGUCAUUUUGCUCGCUGAUCUGGAGGCUGGAGUCUGCGAUCGAGGUGGCAGCAUGGCGAGGGCCCUCCUCCUGGCGGGCUCACGGCUGCUCCCCCUGUGUGGCAUGAGGCCCUUCUGCUAAGGCCACCAAUCCUAUCAGAUUAGGACCCUCUUCCCCACCACAUCACAGAACCUUAAUUACCUCCUAAAAGCUGUGUCUAAAUCCAAAUACACUCUCCCUGGUGUGUAUGUGGAGGGGAGGGACAGUGAUGCAAGCUUGGUCUGUAGGAAUUUGAAGAAUGAGGUUUCUGCUGUUUAGAAGCUCACAAAGCCAUGGAUCCGCGGUGGGAGGGUUUGUACCCAUUCAGCAACCUGGUUCUGGAGCAGACAGACCUGCUUCUGAGUUCCAGUUCUGCCCACCUAGUGGCCAUGUGGCCUUGGGCAAAGUACUUGCCCUCUGGAAGCCAGCUUCCUCAGCUGUGAGACUGGGGCCUUUGUGGGGUGACUGAAGGUCACAUGAGGGCUCCAUGGAAGGCCUUGGGCCUGAGGCUGACUCCAGCGCUGUCCACGAGGGGUUACGUCUGCUCUACGCUCUACCCUCCCUCCAUGCUCCUCUCUCCCCGGCCCCAGCACUCUGCAGCCCUCUGCAUUCUCCCCAGCUUCCUAGGACUCAGGCAGUUGGGUGGUUCCAACAGGGGCAGGCUGGGGCAGACCCCACAGACCCCAGGGAAGCCCCUGCCUCAUGCAGAACACCCCUCCACCUGGGAGUGUUCUGUUCAAUUUUUUUAAUUUAGAAUAAUUUAAAGAUCACAGAACGUUUCCAAGGAUAGAGCGAGGAUUGUGCCACGUUGUAUCUUGUCCUUCCUCCCUUCCCUGUCUGGACCACGCACCAAGCACCACCCAGCUUUACCCCUGCUGUGUGCUGUGGCCACAGUGGAGUCAGCACGUUCAGGAAGUGUGUUCAGCAUGUUAUCAGAAUGAUAGCUGCCGACUUGUCAUGUCCAGGUCUCUGUCCUGUCAGCGGUCUCUCAGAGACUGUUACCACCACGUUUUUCUGGUCUGGGGUCUGGCCAGGGCCAGGCGCUGCCUUUAGGGAGCAUCUGUUCUGUAGCCUUGUCUGGCGUGGUUCCUGAGCCUUUCAUGUGGUUUUUGAAGAGUCAAGUUUAUGCUAUAGAACGGCUGUCAAGUGGGUCCCUUGGUGUUUGCGAUGUGUUAGGAGGCGCCUUGAGGUUUGCUUGGUUAGGGUGUGUAUUUGUGAACACCUAGCUGUGUCCUAGGUGCUGCGAGCGAGGAGCGUCACACAACACAGCCUGGCCCUGACCUUGGGGCCUGAAGUUUGGGUGUUGGGGGCAAGCAGUUACUGUCCGUUGGGCUUAAAGGGCCCCUGUGUGUUCUCGUGAUUAGAGGCACUGACAAGCUUGGGCGAAUACAUCUUCGAUGGAUGCAGGAUGAGUCUGUUCUGGACGUCUACAGAGAUGGAGAAUUUGCCCGCUGAGGUGCCCCCAAGUCCACACUCUCAGCACGAAGUCCUGCUCCUCAGUCCAGCGUCCAGCUCUGCCCUUCCGAGGACCUACUCUAUGACUUUGGGCUUCUCCCCUCCCCCUCCAGGUCUAGUGUCCUUGGGACUCAAAAUGAGCUGAGGGGGGCAGGAGAGUCACGGAGCCCUGGAGUGGAGGAAGAUAGCCUGCAACAAGGCUGAGCAGGUGUGCACGCCUGCACUGUGCUCUGGGGGCAAAGUCAGACCCGAACUCGCUUUCUGGAUGGUAUGCCGUAGGGGAACAUGGUGAAUUGUCAUUUCUGCCCCAAUAGCCACGUUAAGAUUUUGUCAUGGGUGUUUUGGUGAGACCAAAGCAGGCCAUGCAAAAAUGUUUGAAAGUGUCAUCAGAUCUCCACAGAACUGUGGCCGAGCAAGCUUUCAAUGUGAGAAGAUAAAAUUGAUUUUCAUCUAGUCAUUCAGUCAACACCACUCUUACCUUUAUUUAACGCAUUUCAAAGUGCACCCCUGGGGCAGGGUGCCCAGCAGAGUAGCUUCUUGCUAAUGUGCACCCUGGGAGGCAGCACAUGAUGGCUGGGUCCCUGCCACCCACAUGGGAGACCUGGGUUGAAGUUCUGGGCCCCCAGCUCAGCCUGGUCCGGCCCCAGCUGUUUCAGUUAUUUGGGGAGUGAACCAUUGGAUGGAAGAAGAUCUCACCCUUCCCUCCUGCCCUUUCAGAAAAAUAAAUUUCUAAAAACUGCUCUUCCUGGAGCUGUAGAUGUUCAUGUGAGAGAGAACCUGAUUAAAGUCCAGUUCUCUGCACUGGCGAUUUACCAAGGGCUCAGUAGCCACAUGGGACUGAUGUCUUUGUGUUGGAGAGUGCAGAUGGAGAGCAGCCCCCUGCACUUCCCAACAACCCGGAAGCGGAGGUGCAGGAGGAGACCUGCAGGCCCUCACACAGGACUGCAGGCGGUCAGCCCUGCGGUCUCUGGUGGCUGGGGUGGGUCAGAGGUGUGCAGUGAGAUCGCAGGAACAUCACCCCUUCUGUUACUUGAGCAGCUCAGGGCUCUGUUAAAUCAGGGGUUGCACCAGGGUGCUGUAGCCAGAGUUUAAAGAGGAUCCAGCCAGCGUGGAACUGAGACAUUGAUUCCAGCCAGGGCUUUGGUUCUUUCUGCUUUCCUGGCCUUCCAUAAUCUCAGGGCCUUGAGUGCACAGGCAGGUACAGGAGCCCAGUUUCUGGCCCGGGGUGGGGGAAGUUCCUAGAAGAACGGGAUCCCUGUCUCCCUGCCACCAAGGACCCUGGGCUGGGAGCUGGGCCAGGGUGGCCGGCGGUGGUCCUGGGGCAGGGCAGGGGACUGGGACUCUUGGAUGACACGAUGGGCUGAGUUGGUAUUGCCCCUGCACGGCCACCGUCUGCCACUCAGCUCACCGUUCCACAGGGGUGUAGGUCCAAGUGUGGGUGAUGGAGCAGAACCCACUGCUGGCUCUAAGCUCCCAGGAACCAGCCCACAACUACUGAGAAAGCCACGUGGCUGGCGGUGUACAAGCAGAAACGUGCCUACUCGAGAGUGCCUGCCUGCCCGUGGGUGCCUGCUGGUCUCUGUCCCCGCCUCCUGGCCUCCUAAACCGACGAGGGGAAGCUGAGGCUCCUCUGCAGCUCCUGGCUCGGUCUGCACGCAGCUGCCUCCGCUCCAGCCGGGAUGUGGCUGUUCCUCUCUCUGCUCUGCACGGCCGUACCGACGCCCCUAGCGGCCUUCAACGUGGACGAGGCCGGGGCCUGGGUCACACCUGCGGGAGCACCUUUCGUGCUGAGUGCACUUCUGCACCAGGACCCCAGCACCAACCAGACCUGGCUCCUGGUCACCAGCCCGAGAACCAGCAGGCCAUCAUGGCCCCUACACCAGUGUUCUCUCGUCCAGAAUGAAAUCCAGUGCCGGCCCGUGGAGCAUGUCCCCAUGUCCAAGGGGAAGCACCUGGGAGUGACAGUGGUCCGGAACCACCAUGGUGUUUUGAUAUGCACCCAAAUGCAGUCUAGGCAGCCCCACAGCCUCAGCUCAGAGCUCACAGGCAACUGCACCUUGCUGGACUCUGACCUGCGUCCCCGAACCCAGGUCUCCUUCAUUGAUCUUGAGAAUCACCUGGAUCCACAUGUACGUGUGGAUGCUGGAGACUGCUAUCAAAACAAAGAAGGCGGCAUGGGGGAGGAAGAGAGCACAGCCAGGUGGCGCCGGGCUCUGGAGAAGGCAGAGGAGGAGGAGGAAGAGGAAGAAGAGGCAGGCACCGAGAUUGCUAUCGUCCUAGAUGGUUCAGGAAGCAUUGACCCCCCAGACUUCCAGAGAGCCAAAGACUUCAUCGCCAACAUGAUGACGAACUUCAGUGAGAAGUGUUUUGAGUGCAGCUUCGCCCUGGUGCAAUAUGGGCGGGUCAUCCAGACAGAGUUCAACCUUCAGGACAGCCAGAAUAUGACAGCCUCCCUCGCCAAGGUCCAGAACAUCACUCAAGUGAGGAACGUCACCAGGACUGCCUCGGCCAUUCAGCACGUGCUAGACGACAUCUUCACGCAGAGGCACGGCUCCAGAAAAAAGGCCUCGAAGGUCAUCGUGGUGCUCACCGACGGGGACACAUUCGAGGACCCCCUCAACCUCACGGUUGUCAUCAACUCACCCAAGAUGCAGGGCAUUGAACGUUUUGCCAUCGGGGUGGGAGAUGCAUUUAAGAAACAUCAGACUGAACAGGAGCUGAAGCUGAUCGCCUCGGACCCUGAUGAGACCCACGCCUUCAAGGUGACCAACUACUCGGCGCUGGACGGGCUGCUGAGCAGGCUGCAGCAAAGCAUCAUCCGCACGGAAGGCGCAGUCGGAGAGGCCCUCCACUUCCAGCUGGCACAGAUUGGCUUCAGUGCCCAGAUCCUGGACGAGGAGCAGGUGCUGCUUGGCGCUGUCGGGGCCUUUGACUGGUCCGGAGGCGCCCUGCUCUACCACAUGCACAGCCGCCAGGGCCGCUUCCUCAACCACACUGCGGCUGAUGCUGAGGCUGCGCAGUACGGCUACCUGGGUUACUCAGUGGCCGUGCUGCACAAGGCCUGUGGCCUCACCUACGUGGCAGGGGCUCCACGGUACAAGCAGCGAGGGGCAGUGUUUGAGCUCCAGAAGCAGGAUGCACGGACCGCUUUCGCGCAGGUGCUAGAAGGAGAGCAGAUGGGGUCCUAUUUUGGCUCUGAGCUGUGCCCCGUGGACAUCGACAUGGAUGGGACCACCGACUUGUUGCUGGUGGCUGCUCCGUUUUACCAUAUCCAUAAAGAGGAAGGCAGAGUUUACGUGUACCGGCUGCAUGAGCAGGCUGGUUCCUUCUCCUUGGAACACACACUGAGCGGGCCCCCGGGGCUCACUGAUGCCCGCUUCGGCUUCGCCAUGGCGGCUGUGGGGGACAUCAGUCAGGACGGGUUCACGGAUGUGGCCAUCGGGGCCCCCCUGGAGGGUGUCGGGGCAGACGAUGGCGCCAGCUUCGGCAGCGUGUACAUCUACAACGGACGCCGGGACGGUCUCUUCACCAGCCCCUCACAGCGGAUCAAGGCCUCAGCCGUGGCCACAGGACUCCAUUACUUCGGCAUAUCUGUGGCCGGUGGCUCAGAUUUCAGUGGCGAUGGCCUUGCUGACAUCACUGUGGGCACGCUGGGCCGAGCAGUUGUGCUCCGCUCCCGGCCCGUGGUUCGUCUGAAUGUGUCCAUGAACUUCAAACCCAGCCAACUGCCAAUUGGUUUCAACGGCAGCACGAUGGCGACUUUGUGUUUUAAUAGCAGCUCCAAGUCAGACCUCGGAGGGACAGCCCUCAACUUCACGCUGGACGUGGACGUGCUGAAACCCAGGAGAAGGCUGCAGUGCCUAAACACGAGAACCUGUCUCGGCCAGCUGAAGGAGUGGGCCAAUGGCUCUUCUGUGCGUGAGAACUUUCAGCUCACCUCCACGGAGGCACAGCUCUGUGAGGAAGACUGCUUUUCCAACAUCACUGUCAAGGUCAGCUACCGACUGCAGACCCAGGAGGGACAGUGGGACCGCCCCCAGCCCAUCCUGGACAAGUACACGGAGCCCACCGCCAUCUUCCAGUUGCCCUACGAGAAGGCCUGCAAGAACCCGCUGUUCUGUGUCGCGGAGCUACACGUGGCCACCGCCGUUUCUCCGCAGGAACUGGUGGUAGGUCUCACGAAGGAGCUGACCAUGAACAUCAGCCUGACUAACUCUGGGGAGGAUUCCUUCAUGACCAGUCUGGCUCUGAGUUAUCCCCGAAACUUACACUUCAAGAGGAUGCAAAAGCCUCCCUCUCCAGACAUUCAGUGUGAUGACCCUAAGCCAGUUGCUUCUGUCCUGAUCAUGAAGUGCAAGAUCGGUCACCCCAUAUUCAAGAGGUCAUCUCAGGCAAAUGUUUUGGUAGUUUGGCAGCUAGAGGAAAGUGCUUUUCCAAACAGGACAGCAAACAUCACCGUGACCUUCACCAAUUCCAAUGAAAAAUCUUCUUCGGCUAUAGAGACCCACAGCCUUCAAUUCAAGCACGCCUUUGUUGCAGCUCUUUCCAAACCGUCAGUGAUGUACGUGAACAUGGGCAGGGGGCUUUCUGACCACAAAGAAUUCCUCUUCAACAUACAUGGGGAGAAUCUCUUUGGAGCCGAAUUUCAGCUGCAGAUUUGUGUCCCAGUCAAAUUACAAGGUCUCCAGAUUGUAAAAGUGAAGGCCCUGACAAAGACUCAGAACCUCACGGUGUGCUCCCAGGGUCCGCAGAGUGAUUGUGUGAGCGAUCGGCUUCAGCGUGUGGAAAAGUGGUGUUCCGUGAGCUGCGCUGUCAGGUCGGCCAGAGAGAACGUGACCGUGGCUGCCGAGCUCGCCCUGGGUCCGGCUGCGCAGUUACUAAGAGAUGUCCGUGAACUGCAGGUCUUCGGGAAAAUUGUUUUCAACGAAUCUUUCUAUGUGGGGCUGAACCCAGAGAACCACAGAACCCAGAUGGUCUCUUUGUCAUGUCCAGAUCACCGUCGUCUUCCUGCAAGAUGAGUGGAACUACUCCCUGCUGCUCAUCCUUGGCAGCAGUGUUGGUGGCCUGCUGGUUUUGGUCCUGAUUAUCGCCAUCCUGUUCAAGUGUGGCUUUUUUAAAAGGAAAUACCAGCAACUGAACUUGGAGAGCAUAAGAAGGGCCCAGCUGAGAGCCGAGAGCCUGCUCCUGGAAGACAGUUAGGACCUGCGCUCGCGUCCGCUGGAAGAGGCUGUCGGCCGGCCCUGGAGCUCCGAGAGGCUCAGUGUCGUGGGGGCUGCUUCUUCCCGUGGCACGAGCUAGAGCAGAUCAGACAGAUUGUAGGAGAUUGUUCUGCAGCCAGACGCUGCCCCUAAAGUGUCUGCGCGUUGUGUGAAAGUAAGAAAAACUCGGAAGACAUUUGGUAUUAAAUAAAGUUAAACUGUUUUCUUUACAGUAGCACCGCUAAUAUGAAUACGUUCUUUAUGAUAUGCAGUGAAUUUUGAUAUUUGAUAAAGCAGAUUUUCACUUUCA